rnacentral:rRNA from 1 species
CCUACGGGAGGCAGCAGUAAGGAAUAUUGGUCAAUGGAGGCAACUCUGAACCAGCCAUGCCGCGUGCAGGAUGACGGCCCUAUGGGUUGUAAACUGCUUUUAUACAAGAGAAAACCCUGGUACGUGUACCAGGUUGAUAGUAUUGUAAGAAUAAGCAUCGGCUAACUUCGUGCCAGCAGCCGCGGUAAGACGAAGGAUGCAAGCGUUAUCCGGAUUCAUUGGGUUUAAAGGGUGCGUAGGCGGACUGAUAAGUCAGUGGUGAAAUCUCUUUGCUUAACAAAGAAACUGCCAUUGAUACUGUCGGUCUAGAGUAUAGAUGACGUUGGCGGAAUAUGACAUGUAGUGGUGAAAUACUUAGAUAUGUCAUAGAACACCGAUUGCGAAGGCAGCUAACGAAACUAUAACUGACGCUGAGGCACGAAAGUGCGGGGAUCAAACAGGAUUAGAUACCCUGGUAGUCCGCACCGUAAACGAUGAUUACUCGUUGUUGGCGAUAUGACAGUCAGCGACCAAGCGAAAGCGAUAAGUAAUCCACCUGGGGAGUACGCCGGCAACGGUGAAACGUCAAAAGGAAUUGACGGCGNGAGAGNGCGAGGACGACGACGAGGGGAGGAGG